AUUGAACGCUGGCGGAAUGCUUUACACAUGCAAGUCGAACGGCAGCACGGACUUCGGUCUGGUGGCGAGUGGCGAACGGGUGAGUAAUGUAUCGGAACGUGCCCAGUCGUGGGGGAUAACGUAGUGAAAAUUACGCUAGUACCGCAUACGAUCUAUGGAUGAAAGCGGGGGUUCGCAAGACCUUGCGCGAUUGGAGCGGCCGAUAUCGGAUUAGGUAGUUGGUGGGGUAAAGGCCCACCAAGCCAACGAUCUGUAGCUGGUCUGAGAGGACGACCAGCCACACUGGAACUGAGACACGGUCCAGACUCCUACGGGAGGCAGCAGUGGGGAAUUUUGGACAAUGGGCGAAAGCCUGAUCCAGCCAUUCCGCGUGCAGGAUGAAGGCCCUCGGGUUGUAAACUGCUUUUGUACAGAACGAAAAGGUUUCUACUAAUACUAGGAGCUCAUGACGGUACUGUAAGAAUAAGCACCGGCUAACUACGUGCCAGCCGCCGCAGUAA
rnacentral:rRNA from 1 species